ensembl:lncRNA
GUUGAUACUCUACUGUCCAGACUCAGUCAGGUCCAGGUUGAUACUCUACUGUAUCUGCUGUUAUCUCUACUGUCCAGACUCAGUCAGGUCCAGGUUGGUACUCUACUCUACUGUCCAGACUCAGUCAGGUCCAGGUUGAUACUCUACUCUACUGUCCAGACUCAGUCAGGUCCAGGUUGAUACUCUACUGUAUCUGCUGUUAUCUCUACUGUCCAGACUCAGUCAGGUCCAGGUUGGUACUCUACUCUACUGUCCAGACUCAGUCAGGUCCAGGUUGGUACUCUACUGUCCAGACUCAGUCAGGUCCAGGUUAGGACUCUACUCUACUGUCCAGA